rnacentral:lncRNA from 1 species
UCAUUAUAAUAUCAAGCAUCCAAGUGUAUCCAACCCCUCAUCAUGAGAGGAUUGUCCUAGCAAAAACAUCAUCUCUAGUCUAGCAACAACACAAACUAACCUAACAUGGCAAAAAUCAAAGGGGAAAGAGAGGUCACAAACACCAUUCUUGAUAUCUAGGUAGAAGGCUUGAAGGUGAUGCUGCCUUGAUCCUCAAACUUGACUCCAAGCUCCACUCAAUCCAAGCUAGCUCCAAGUCUUCAAUUGCUCCUCAAUCUACUCAUCUAGGGCUUCUAAUUGAGUGAGAGUUGAGAGGGAAAUCGGAUAUGUACAAUUGUUAUGAGUGUGG